UCCCCUAGUAACUGCGAGUGAAGCGGGAAAAGCUCAAAUUUAAAAUCUGGCGGUCUCAGACUGUCCGAGUUGUAAUCUAGAGAAGUGUUAUCCGCGCUGGACCGUGUACAAGUCUCCUGGAAUGGAGCGUCAUAGAGGGUGAGAAUCCCGUCUUUGACACGGACUGCCAGGGCUUUGUGAUGCGCUCUCAAAGAGUCGAGUUGUUUGGGAAUGCAGCUCAAAAUGGGUGGUAAAUUCCAUCUAAAGCUAAAUAUUGGCGAGAGACCGAUAGCGAACAAGUACCGUGAGGGAAAGAUGAAAAGAACUUUGGAAAGAGAGUUAAACAGUACGUGAAAUUGCUGAAAGGGAAACGCUUGAAGUCAGUCGCGUUGGCCAGGGAUCAACCUUGCUCUUGCUGGGUGUACUUCCUGGUUAACGGGUCAACAUCAAUUUUGAUUGUUGGAAAAAGAUCAAGGGAAUGUGGCAUCUUCGGAUGUGUUAUAGCCUUUGGUUGUAUACAACAAUUGGGAUUGAGGAACUCAGCACGCCGAAAGGCCGGGUUUUUAACCACGUUCGUGCUUAGGAUGUUGGCAUAAUGGCUUUAAUCGACCCGUCUUGAAACACGGACCAAGGAGUCUAACAUGCCUGCGAGUGUUUGGGUGGAAAACCCGAGCGCGUAAUGAAAGUGAAAGUUGAGAUCCCUGUCGUGGGGAGCAUCGACGCCCGGACCAGAAAUUUAUGGACGGUUCCGCGGUAGAGCAUGUAUGUUGGGACCCGAAAGAUGGUGAACUAUGCCUGAAUAGGGUGAAGCCAGAGGAAACUCUGGUGGAGGCUCGUAGCGAUUCUGACG
rnacentral:rRNA from 1 species